rnacentral:lncRNA from 1 species
GAGGUCGUUUGACCCCCUAAAUAAUUCGCCGAAGUUGGGACUUCGACACAGUUUUUCCGUAGUGCCGGAAAAAUUUGUCAAAAUCCGAUUCUUCCUCUUUUAACCGCCUCUACAACCCUUAUCCGACCCCUCUAGACUAUAUCCACCCUUUGUAUAGCCUAAUAUCAUCAAAAGACUAGAUAGGGAUGGAUAUUUACCUUUUUCUUUUUGAAAAUCGAGGUCCUUGCGUAGAGGGGAAGGAGAUCUACACUUUUCCCUUCAGCUGGCAGCGUAACCGGGAUCUCCUUCCUUUUUCUUUCUUCCUUUCCUUUCCUCUCCUUCUUUUUCUUCCUCUCUGUCCGUCUGAGACUCCCUCUGUGACUCUCUCUCGGUUUCC